GGGCGUAUAGCUCAGCGGUAGAGCACUUCGGUGACAUCGAAGGGGUCACAGGUUCGAAACCUGUUACGCCCACCA
rnacentral:tRNA from 1 species